UACGUAGGGGGCAAGCGUUGUCCGGAUUCAUUGGGCGUAAAGAGCGUGUAGGCGGCCUGGAAGGUCAGCUGUGAAAACUCGAGGCUCAACCUCGAGACGUCGGUUGAAACCACCUGGCUAGAGUCCGGAAGAGGAGUGUGGAAUUCCCGGUGUAGCGGUGAAAUGCGCAGAUAUCAGGAAGAACACCAAUGGCGAAAGCAGCUCUCUGGGACGGUACUGACGCUGAGACGCGAAAGCGUGGGGAGCGAACAGG
rnacentral:rRNA from 1 species